rnacentral:rRNA from 1 species
CCUACGGGGGGCAGCAGUCGGGAAUAUUGCGCAAUGGAGGAAACUCUGACGCAGUGACGCCGCGUAUGUGAAGAAGGUUUUCGGUAUGUAAAGUAUUAUCGGUAGGGAAGAAAAAAGCGUUAACCUAAGGAGGAAGCCCCGGCUACCUAUGUGCAAGCAGCCCCGGUAAUACAUAGGGGGCAAGCGUUACCCGGAAUUAUUGGGGGUAAAGGGGGGUUAGACGGAAGCACAAGUUGGGUGUGAAAUCCCUCGGCUCAACUGAGGAACUGCAACGAAAACUAUUCGCCUUGAGUGUAGGAGAGGAAAGUGGAAUUCCUAGUGUAGCGGUGAAAUGCGUAGAUAUUAGGAGGAACACCAGUGGCGAAGGCGACUUUCUGGACGAUAACUGACGUUGAGGCACGAAAGUGUGGGGAGCAAACAGGAUUAGAUACCCCUGUAGUC